ACUCAAUAGAUACCCUGGUAGUCCUGGCAGUAAACGGUGCACGUUUGGUGUGGGAGGAAUCGACCCCUUCCGUGCCGGAGCUAAACGCGUUAAACGUGCCGCCUGGGGAGUACGGUCGCAAGAUUAAAACUCAAAGAAAUUGACGGGGGCCCGCACAAGCGGUGGAGUAUGUGGCUUAAUUCGAUGCAACGCGAAGAACCUUACCUGGGCUUGACAUGCAUCUCUAAGUCGGUGAAACGCCGGCGAGUCCCGCAAGGGACAAUUUGCACAGGUGCUGCAUGGCUGUCGUCAGCUCGUGUCGUGAG
rnacentral:rRNA from 1 species